rnacentral:rRNA from 1 species
GACGAACGCUGGCGGCGUGCUUAACACAUGCAAGUCGAACGGAAAGGCCCUGCUUUUGUGGGGUGCUCGAGUGGCGAACGGGUGAGUAACACGUGAGUAACCUGCCCUUGACUUUGGGAUAACUUCAGGAAACUGGGGCUAAUACCGGAUAGGAGCUCCUGCUGCAUGGUGGGGGUUGGAAAGUUUCGGCGGUUGGGGAUGGACUCGCGGCUUAUCAGCCUGUUGGUGGGGUAGUGGCUUACCAAGGCUUUGACGGGUAGCCGGCCUGAGAGGGUGACCGGCCACAUUGGGACUGAGAUACGGCCCAGACUCCUACGGGAGGCAGCAGUGGGGAAUAUUGCACAAUGAGCGGAAGCAUGAUGCAGCAACGCCGCGUGCGGGAUGACGGCCUUCGGGUUGUAAACCGCUUUCGCCUGUGACGAAGCGUGAGUGACGGUAAUGGGUAAAGAAGCACCGGCUAACUACGUG